rnacentral:lncRNA from 1 species
CUUGAACUUUUCAAGAGACAAAAACACUCCAGCAUACCGAAAACCAAGGUGACCAACCAUCGUGAAGGACAUGGCUAAUCAGUGCGACAUACCAAGGCAUCUUGAUUUUUUUUUCAAAAAAAUGGAGCUUUCUCACAAUUUUGGCCAUAUUCACCAAUGUCCACCUCCCUCCUACAUGCAAAGCAUGCCAGUGACAACUUUUUUUUAUUCAAAAGAUCCAACAUACAAAUUUGUCGAUGGGAAGCCAUGAUAACACUGACAAUACUCAACUCAAGACCAGGCUAAAGGAUUUCAAGUAAUGAAAAACCAGGGCUUCACAAUCAUAACGAACAAUCAGGGUUUCAAAGUUAUAUUCUCUCGUAAAAGCUUGGUAUGAGCAGACAUAAUCAUCCUACCCUCAAAGCCUUGCUUUUUUAACCCUCCUCGAUAUGCAAAUGCAAUACCAGAAACUGACAUGAAUUGCCACUUCAGUCACAGAAGUACUGCCUACAGAGAGUAUAUGCAUUGACAUAUUCGAGUAUUCUUCCACCUCUGAUUCGAUGAAUAUAUGGCAAUGCCAAAAUUGCAGUUUCAAAGGAAGCUUUCCAUUUCAAGCUCUUACAGAAAUCAAUUUGCUACACCCAAUCACCCAAAAACUACUACUUUGUGGAAAUCAACUGAUAAUGCCUCAUGUACCUUUCUAAAGAGAUAUUUAUUCUUUGUGGAAAACUGCUACCCAAGGUCUGCGGUACCGAUAGUACCGGUGAAGACCGAUUUUGGUACGGUACCAGUUCGGUCCAGUCGAGAUAGGAAAAAAAAACACGGGUCCGAUGCGUGGAUGCGCGCGCGCCCACGCGUUACCACAGAGUGGCAUUGUGCGGCAUUUCAAGCCCACGCGGGGUAGCCUGCAUGGGCUCGCUGCCCCGCGCAGGAAUCGAGGCAGCGCGGGGAAUCACGUGCGGGCACGGUUCCUUGCAAGUGGGCGCGAGCAAGCUCGUAGUUUUCCACUUGUGCCCGAUUCCCCACUCAGCCCCGCACGCGAGGUUUUUUUGCUCCCUUUAUUUUUUUUCCCCCCUUCUUCUUCCCG